UACGGGGGGAGCAAGCGUUGUUCGGAUUUACUGGGCGUAAAGCGUGCGUAGGCGGUGGUCCAAGUCUGGUGUGAAAUCUCCCGGCUUAACUGGGAGGGUGCGCCGGAAACUGGGCCGCUGGAGUACGGGAGAGGCAAGCGGAAUUCCAGGUGGUAGCGGUGAAAUGCGUAGAUAUCUGGAGGAACACCCGUGGUGCAGACGGCUUGCUGGACCGUGACUGACGCUGAGGCACGAAAGCGUGGGUAGCAAACAGG
rnacentral:rRNA from 1 species